rnacentral:misc_RNA from 1 species
UUGGAGAUAUUCUCUUCUUGACUUAGACGCCACAGUUACGACGAAUUUUGAGGGUGGCCACUGGCGGACACGGGCGAAGGGCCGUGUAGGGGCGCCCCCGCGGCCGUUUAGGGCGGGCCCGCCAAAGCAACAAUGGUCUGAUAGACAUGGGUUGGAGGUUCGGGCCUCGAGAGAGAACCCUAGACUCAGUAAUGAUCCUUCCGCAGGUUCACCUACGGAGA